CACACGAUCUUUUCAAGUUGAGUCCAAAACUUUCCAUAUUUAUAAUGAACUCCCCAACCCAUUUUUAAGGUUGUCAUAAUCUUGGUCCAAUAUUCCGAAAUGCUUGUUCUCGUAGUCACAGACAAAUAGCAAGAAGGAAAAAAGUCUCAAAGUGUUUUCUUCCGCUCGUUUGAUUGAUUUCCUUCAAAAGGAAACGGACGAACAUCAAACCAAAUUAGCUAACCAUUUUCAUUUCCUGUUGGUUUGAAUAUUUUGAUGUGCCAAAGAAAAAAAAACGCCCAUUUUGAUUUUCAGUCACAUGAUAUGCUAAAGAGUUAAAACUCUGAUGGAACUUUUGCCCCUGGAACAGGUUUUUGAAUUUUAGGGUUUGUGUAUAAUGUUGAUACUAAGCAUGAAUACAAAGAGGCAGAGACGUCCAAAUGUUAGGUUAGGGGAAAUAGGAGAUACUUCUGCAGCAUUUGCAUGUGGGUUUUCUCAGGUUACUACUACUAAGGAAAAAUUAGGGCACAAGAGGUGGAAGAAUGAUUUUGGGAACCCUAGUGAGAGAGGGCAAAAUCUGAUUUGUGGGUUUUCUGAGAAGGACUCUGAGUUGACAAUUUCGGACCCCGGAGUCUCUCCGCGAAAUUCGGCUGACUCUCAACAGAACAGAGAGAACAAGAACCCGAACUCUUUGAGGGCUGUCGAAUUCAUGAGGUUAGAUCGAACUGGUAUGGUGAAAUCCACGUUAGAUUUCGGUAACAUAACCCGAAAAUGUAGGGUAAUGAAGCGGCGGGGGCAGAGUAGGAGAGGGUACAAUGGUGUCUUUGGAAGUGCUUGGGGUUCUACACGUAGUCCAGAGUUUAGCGAGCAAGACGGGAAAAGGAGUUUGAGGGGUACAAAUUCAACAUGUGUGAUGAAUACUACAAUUGUGAUGGUUUCAAGGGUAUGUCUGAUUGUGAAACGCCGGCCACAAGCAAGGAGGCUUACGAAUGUGAUGCCUAUGGAUCCAAUCAUGAUCUGCAUCGAAAAGGUGACUUCGGUGAUUACUGGAAUGAAGAUACGUGUUUUGAAGAGAAUGAAGCAACUAAAUGUGGUGGUGUAUGGGAUGAGAUAAAAUCUGAAGGAGGUGACACGAAUUGCGUUCGGACUUGGCUGGAGGAGAUGGGGUUCGGUAAGUAUGCUGAUGCUUUUGAAAUGCAUGAGGUUGAUGAAGAAGCUUUGUUGCUACUUACACUUGAAGAUCUCAAAGAGAUGGGAGUCUUCGCUGUUGGGCCUCGGCGGAAGUUGUAUAACGCAAUUCAACAGCUAAGAGGUGGAGAUCUUUCUGCUUGACUCCUUAAUCGUCUGAGAAUAUAUAGGGAGAAAGCAGUAGCAUUUUGCUGCAGCAUUCUGAGUGCAGUUGGCAAGUGAUAUGACAUCAACGCACUACCUGGAGAAAAUGAUAAAAAACCCAUGUGAGCUAAUUGAGUUGUACAGUAGUGGGGACCACUUCAACCCUUAUCAAUUGACACCUCAGUCAUUCUAUUGCCCUAAGAAGGAAGUGCUUUCUAGAAGAAGAGCAAAUAUAGAAGGAAAUCAGGCAGUACAGUAUCGAAAGAAAAACCAAGUACCAGAGACGUGAGAAAAGGAAGAAAAAUUCAAGAGAGAGAGCUGCAGAAAGGAGGAUCCGAAGGGAAGGACAAAGAGAAAUUCUAGAAGAUCCAAGAUUCAGCUCUUCAAUUCUUCUUCUUUCUAUUAGCUUGAUUCUUUUGUUAUUUUUGUUAUUAAUUAAGACAUGGAUUAUUCUGAAAAUUUGAUUUUUACAAUUACCUUUAUGAACUAAAUUAUUAAGUUAGAUCUGCUAAUAGAACCGAGGUUGUAAGGAUGAUGGUUGCUUAAA